rnacentral:rRNA from 1 species
ACGUAGGUGUCAAGCGUUGUCCGGAUUUAUUGGGCGUAAAGCGCCCGCAGGCGGCUCGGCAAGUUUGAGGUGAAAUCUCCCGGCUCAACUGGGAGGGUGCCUCGAAAACUGCCGGGCUUGAGGACUGGAGAGGAGACUGGAAUUUACGGUGUAGCGGUGAAAUGCGUAGAUAUCGUAAGGAAGACCAGUGGCGAAGGCGGCCAUCUGGACGGAUACUGACGCUGAGACGCGAAAGCGUGGGGAGCAAACA